UUGAAAGUCGAAAGCUUCGAAAUUGCAGAGUCUCUCAAAUCAUCAAUGGCCGAAGCAACAAAGAGAUAUGCAGUUGUUACAGGGGCAAACAAAGGGAUUGGGUUAGAAACUGUCAGGCAGUUGGCCUCAAAUGGAAUCACUGUAGUCUUAACUGCUAGAGAUGAAAAGAGGGGUCUUGAAGCUUUUGAUAAACUCAAAGAGUCUGGCCUCACAGGUCAAGUGGUUUUUCAUCAACUUGAUGUGGCGGACCCCGCAAGCGUUGCUUCUUUGGCAGAUUUCAUCAAAACCCAGCUUGGGAAACUCGAUAUCUUGGUGAACAAUGCAGGGAUUGGUGGUGUCGGACUGGAUUCUGAUGCUUUUAAAGCUUCAGAAAAUUCUGGUGAUGGGGAAGGAGCAAACAUUGAUUGGACUAAAUUUCUGACUGAAACACACCUGUUGACAGAAGAAUGCUUGCAAAUAAAUUACUAUGGCACUAAAAGAACAGCUGAAGCACUUAUUCCACUCCUCCAGUUAUCCGAUUCACCAAGAAUUGUUAACGUUUCUUCCUCCACGGGGAAGUUAGAGAACAUACCAAGUGACUGGGUUAAAGGCGUUUUUAGGAUUCCGAAUACCUAACAGAAGAGAGAGUAGAUGAGGUAUUGACACAGCUACUAAAAGACUUCAAGGAGGGUUCAAUUGAAAGCAAGGGCUGGCCUGUUUAUCCUGCAAAUAGUCUCAAAAGCGGCAAUAAAUGCAUAUACAAGGAUUCUAGCCAAGAAAUACCCCAACUUCCGCAUCAAUUCUGUCUGCCCCGGCUAUGUCAAGACAGAUAUAACCUUCAAUACUGGCAUCUUGUCUGUUGAAGAAGGUGCUGCAACUGUUCUGAAGUUAGCAUUGCUGCCCAGUGAUGGUCCUUCUGGCCUCUUCUUUGUUCGGUCUGAAGUAUCAUGUGCAUGAUUGAAGUGUGCUAAUACAUGUCAUUCGUUGGGGCAGAAUCUUGGAUUUUCAAUGUAAGAAAGUAUAUUGUUAAAAUUUAUGUAAAUCAGUGAUGUGGCAAGUUUGUUUGUUAA